rnacentral:tRNA from 1 species
CAUUAAGAAGCUUUAAU